UAAAUAAUAGAGGCGAUACCAGGGGAAGUGAACCAUCUAAGUACCCUGAGGAAAAGAAAUCAAAGAGAUUCCCUUAGUAGUGGCGAGCGAAAAGGGAGUAGCCCAAACUUUAAAUGUGUCAAGCUGCAGAGCGUUGCAUUUAUGGGGUUGUAGGACGUUUAGGCUUAGUCUGUAAUAAGCAAAAAAGUUACAAAAUAUUUAUAUAGAAGAAUAAUCUGGAAAGUUUAACCAAAGAAGGUGAUAGUCCUGUAAUUUAAAUGUAAAUAUCUUUUUAAAAUGUUCCUGAGUAGGACGAGGCACGAGAAACCUUGUUUGAAGCUGGGGAGACCACUCUCCAAGGCUAAAUACUAGAAAGCUACCGAUAGAGAAGAGUACCGUGAGGGAAAGGUGAAAAGAACCCCGGGAGGGGAGUGAAAUAGAACUGAAACCGUAGACUUACAAGCAGUCAAAGCCGUAAUUUAUUGCGGUGAUGGCGUGCCUUUUGCAUAAUGAACCUGCGAGUUAUCAUGUCUAGCAAGAUUAAAGCAUAGAAGUGCUGGAGUCGAAGCGAAAGCGAGUCUUAAAAGGGCGAUUUAGUUAGAUGUGGUAGACCCGAAGCCGAGUGAUCUAUUUAUGGCCAGGCUGAAGCUUGGGUAAAACCAAGUGGAGGGCCGAACUCUAGUCUGUUUAAAAAGGCAGGGAUGAGCUGUGAAUAGGAGUGAAAGGCUAAACAAACUCGGAGAUAGCUGGUUCUCCCCGAAAUGGAUUUAAGUUCAGCCUUAUUUUAGUUUAAUAGAGGUAGAGCACUAAUUGAGCUAGGGCCUGUCAAAGGGUACCAAACUCAGUUAAACUCCGAAUGCUAUUAAAUGAUGAAUAGGAGUGAGACUAUGGGCGAUAAGGUUCAUAGUCGAGAGGGAAACAACCCAGACCAACAGCUAAGGUCUCAAAAAUGUGUUAAGUGGAAAAGGAGGUUUAGGUACGUAAACAGCCAGGAGGUUGGCUUAGAAGCAGCCAUACCUUUAAAGAGUGCGUAAUAGCUCACUGGUCGAGUACUUAAGCGCCGAUAAUGUAACGGGGCUAAACACAUUACCGAAGCUUUGGAUCUUAACGAAAGUUAAGAUGGUAGGGGAGCGUUCUGUAAGCCAGAGAAGUUAAACUGGAAAGUUUGAUGGAGGUAUCAGAAGUGAGAAUGCAGGUAUGAGUAACGAAAAAAUGGGUGAGAUUCCCAUUCGCCGAAAACCUAAGGUUUCCUGGGUAAAGGUCGUCUUCCCAGGGUUAGUCGG
rnacentral:rRNA from 1 species